rnacentral:lncRNA from 1 species
UAAUCCUUUAAUCAACUUGAUAUGAAAAUUGAAAAUUGAUUGAAAGCAUGCUGAAGUUGUUUGAAUUCAGAAAUUGAAAGAGUACAAAAUUGGUUGAAAGAUUAAAUUAAGUAACAGGUAUGGUUGAGGGAUUAUUUAUAGUUCUAAUUAUAAUUAUUUCUUUUGAAUAGAGUUGUUAUCAGAUUCAAAAAUUGAAGAAGAUAAUUUUUCUUCACAUUUUAUUGAUGAACACCAAGCAAAGUUCACAUUGUCAAAGAGUUUUAAGUUUUAAUAGAUGCAAAAUGUUAUUCUCAAGGAGCUUGCAGAAAUAAAAGUUCUUUUAAAAGAAGUUAUAGAAAUUAAGUUUCAGGCUACUGGGGUGAAGAUGCUAGAAUCGGUGGACGAAGUGGUUACACUGGAUAAUAAACUAAAAGAUAAAACCGAGUAUACUAAUUUGCUUGAUAGUUU